AUUGAACGCUGGCGGCAGGCCUAACACAUGCAAGUCGAGCGGAUGAAGGGAGCUUGCUCCUGUAUUCAGCGGCGGACGGGUGAGUAAUGCCUAGGAAUCUGCCUGGUCGUGGGGGAUAACGUCCGGAAACGGGCGCUAAUACCGCAUACGUCAUGAGGGAGAAAGUGGGGGAUCUUCGGACCUCGCGCUAUCAGAUGAGCCUAGGUCGGAUUAGCUAGUUGGUGGGGUAAAGGCCUACCAAGGCGACGAUCCGUAACUGGUCUGAGAGGAUGAUCAGUCACACUGGAACUGAGACACGGUCCAGACUCCUACGGGAGGCAGCAGUGGGGAAUAUUGGACAAUGGGCGAAAGCCUGAUCCAGCCAUGCCGCGUGUGUGAAGAAGGUCUUCGGAUUGUAAAGCACUUUAAGUUGGGAGGAAGGGCAGUAAGUGAAUACCUUGCUGUUUUGACGUUACCAACAGAAUAAGCACCGGCUAACUUCGUG
rnacentral:rRNA from 1 species